rnacentral:lncRNA from 1 species
UUAAUUCUCCAAUUUCCAGCACCUAUUCACAAAGGCUUAACCUUAAACCAAGUCAAUUUCCAUGCACAUAAGCACCAAGAGAGAAUUAAUUUCCAGCACCCACAAAAGAGAGGUCAAGAAACAAAAGCAAGAAACAAAUUUAAUUGAAAGAAAACAGUACCACCAAAAGGAUUUAUAAUAUGACAACUUAGAAAGAGAUUCAAGAAAUUAAAGCAAACAAUUAAAGGUACUCAAUAAAAGUUGGCACACAAAAGGAAUUCCUAAAGAAAAGCACUAGAUUAGAUGACCAAAUAAAAAAACAGCACCACUGGAAAAUGUUGUGGGCCAGAAAACAGUUUUGUUCCCCGAUUUAUGCUGAGCUGUAAUUGUAAAAUUUGUUUCUGAAAUUUGGAUACAAGAAAAUUCAGGAUCUUAGCUAAAUUUUGGCUUUGGAAUCACCUAAAACGCAUGCACCAUUUUUUUUUAAUAAUUUUUGCAAAUUUGGUGUGCAGUUAGGCCAGCUGUAACGCUCAAGAUUCGCACUCUGAUUUUGUGAGAUUUAUCAUUUUUUUUCUGUUGCUCCUUUUGACCUCAUUCUUUUUUUGUCUUUUCUAUAACACCUUAAACUUGCAUUUUCCAGAAAUUCAGAAUUUUCCUAUGGGUGGAAAAAAUUUUGUUAAACAAAACAGCCCAGAACAGAGAGGUGAUACAGGGGAAAUCUGGAAAACUGGAAGAAAACAGCAAGAUAACCAAAAAUAACACAAUGGAAAAUGUGAGAAUGGAAAUUGUGUAUGAACUAAGACACAAUUAUGAACUCAAACUAAAAAUAAAAAACACCAAAGGAUCAAAA